AGACCCGAAACCCGGUGAUCUAGCCAUGGGCAGGUUGAAGGUUGGGUAACACUAACUGGAGGACCGAACCGACUAAUGUUGAAAAAUUAGCGGAUGACCUGUGGCUGGGGGUGAAAGGCCAAUCAAACCGGGAGAUAGCUGGUUCUCCCCGAAAGCUAUUUAGGUAGCGCCUCGUGAAUUCAUCUCCGGGGGUAGAGCACUGUUUCGGCUAGGGGGCCAUCCCGGCUUACCAACCCGAUGCAAACUGCGAAUACCGGAGAAUGUUAUCACGGGAGACACACGGCGGGUGCUAACGUCCGUCGUGAAGAGGGAAACAACCCAGACCGCCAGCUAAGGUCCCAAAGUCAUGGUUAAGUGGGAAACGAUGUGGGAAGGCCCAGACAGCCAGGAUGUUGGCUUAGAAGCAGCCAUCAUUUAAAGAAAGCGUAAUAGCUCACUGGUCGAGUCGGCCUGCGCGGAAGAUGUAACGGGGCUAAACCAUGCACCGAAGCUGCGGCAGCGAACGUAUCACUUAAAGCGAUUCA
rnacentral:rRNA from 3 species